rnacentral:rRNA from 2 species
GGGGAAUAUUGCGCAAUGGGGGAAACCCUGACGCAGCAAUACCGCGUGAGUGAAGAAGGUUUUCGGAUUGUAAACCUCUGUCCUUGGUGACGAAAAAAAUGACGGUAGCCAAGGAGGAAGCUCCGGCUAACUACGUGCCAGCAGCCGCGGUAAUACGUAGGGAGCAAGCGUUGUCCGGAUUUACUGGGUGUAAAGGGUGCGUAGGCGGCACUGCAAGUCAGGCGUGAAAUAUAUGGGCUUAACCCAUAGACUGCGUUUGAAACUGUGGUGCUUGAGUGAAGUAGAGGUAGGCGGAAUUCCCGGUGUAGCGGUGAAAUGCGUAGAGAUUAGGAAGAACACCAGUGGCGAAGGCGGCUUUCUGGACUGUAACUGACACUGAGGCACGAAAGCGUGGGGAGCAAACA